CUCUUAAGUACAUGAGAGGCACUCUUGGAACAGAAAUGAAAACGGAUCUGCCAAUUACUACUCUUUACUUUUCAAGCUGAUUCCCCCAAGGGCUUCUAUUUAGCAAAUACUUUUAAGAGACUGUGUACGGCAAAGGAAUCAGAGAGCAAUUUAUUUUUAUUUCAUUGUUCAGACUGGCUGCCAUCCCACUUAGAUAGAAGGGAGGUUUUCCUGGGUUGUCACGGCUUGCACUUGCAUGUCUUCAAAGCACUUGUAACUGCUUCUCACUCUUUCCACACCACUGGCAGGGAACAUGUUUGCAUCCCCAUUUUGCAGGUGGGGAAACCAAAGGCCAGGAGAGAAGGCAUAGCCCAAACACCAAAUUUUCUUGCCUCUGUCGUCCACCUCUGCUCCUAAUUCUUGACCUGUUGGGUAUUCUGAACAACCUCCUCCCCACUUGUCACCUCUGAGUUUGCAGGUAGCACGGAUAGAAUUCAUAGUAACCCAGAUCUGAAGCCUACAAUCCCUUGCCAGCUUGGUCCUUAGGCAAGACAAUUCUUUCCAUAAGAUAUUUAUAAAAGGCCCUCAGCCAGACCUGUGAGAGAGCUUGUUAUUACUCAGCCAAGAUUGCUCUCUCCUCCCGUUCCUCAUUCACCAGGAUCACAAUGAUACAUGCAACUAUUGUAGGAAAUGUAAGCUCUUCCUGAAACAAAAUUUAAGCAGCUAGUAUUUACUGAGCACUUACUUACAUGGAGCCCAUGGACUAUGCUAACACUUCACAUACAUUACCUUAGCCUUGGGACAGCCCAGCGAAAAUUCUUACCCCGGUUUUAUAGAUGAGGACAUUGAGGCUAAGAAAGACUCAGUGACUUGACCAAGGUCAUUUAGUUUGAGACAAUAUUCAUAACUCAAGUCUGUCACCCACCAAAAGCCACCUGAUUUUCACUCAAUAGCAUGGCCCUAGCUUAGCACCCUAUGAGUAGUACAUGGAAACACAUCCCAAAGUGGCAUAAGACAAGCCAGGCAAGACUGAGCUUUUUAAUUCUAGCUGCUUGGCUCACAACCCAGACUCCAAUGAGGCUACUUCCAUGCUGUUUCACGCAGCCAACAGUCCCAUCAGCCAGGGCGCUGGGAAGCUGACAAGUCAAAGGGCUCCCUGGCAGGCUUGUCCUGGCAGCGACCCAGCUGACUUGUGCUAACACAGCACAGGAAAGGGUCUAGCGAGAAUGGAAAAGCACCAGACAACGAGCCGCUGAGGGAGAGAGGUGAUUCCUGCCCCGCUCAGAUAGGAUAACCCUGCUCCACAGCCACAACCAUCACGAGGCUGGGAAAAGACCUGUGGAGGAGGGAAACAAGAGGCAAGCGCAGGUACUAACUGAUGUAUUUCAGUGAACUAUGAUUGUCGGGCCAGUUUAAGAGAGGGUCACAUAACUCCAAGGUGAAUUAGCAAGCAUGGAAGAAAACCAGUCCAUGUCCUGGUGCAUUCCAGCAACCCUGACCUAUCUUUGCCUACAGCCAGUAACACAAGCCCUGCUACUUAAUGUCACUUGUGCACAGGUCAAGGAGAGCACCUAUAAGAUGCUGUAACAUCUUAAGAGUGGCUACAGCAGCCUUGGAUCUCCACCAGUCCAUGGGAAAGGAAGACUGAGCUGAGAGUAUUAAUAGACUUGCUAGAGCCAGAAAUUUGGCCAGGACACUCCCUAGGAAAUGAAAUUAUUUUAAAAAGGGGCACAAAGUCAGCCUGGAAGAAGAGAGCAACUCAGAUUUCCAAAGAUAGAGCUUCUUCAACCAGACAUUGGUAGGAGAUAUACUAAAAUAUCUGAAAGUCUAAAAAUGUCUGUGGGAAAAAUCUGUGGGUAUUGUCCCUGUGGCUUUCCAUCCUCAAAUAUUUUGCUUAGGGUGAUAUUAAACUGUACAUGUGUAGGAUACACAAAAGAGUUUUCAAUGGAAAUCAAUUCUGUGACCUAAUAUUUGCUACAAGUUGUUUGAAAAAAAUGCGUAACUCUCAGAUAUCAUUAGGAAAGGGACAUUUUUUUGUUGUUGAUUUUGUUGCAGUGCUGGGAGUCAAACCCAGGGCUUCACUCAUACGCUAGACAAGCCUCUUACCACUGAGCUACACCACUACCACCCCAGGACAAGAGGGGCAUUUUUGAGAGAUCACAAAUUGACCCUCACUGGUUCCAAAUAACCCAAGUAUGUUAGCAUGCUUAGAUUUUAAAAAAUGAAUUGCCGACUUUUUUUAAAACAUAAGUUUCUAUAGAUAAAUAAUAAAAACUCCACUUAACUUUUACAUUUUUAAGGGAAAAAAGUGGAAAACUGGUGCCACUGAGGAAGCAGCAAACUGGAAGUUGAAUCACUACUGCCCCCUCUUGUCAGGGCUGUACUUUGCUCAUUUGUCAUCUGAUCCUGCAGGCAUCAAGAUUUGUUUAAAUACCGAAUAGUUUCUCUAGUGUGAGAAACUGAAAAUGUAAAUAAGGACUAAAAGGUAUAAUAGAUAAUGUGAAAUAGGAAGAAAAGGGGCAAAGGGGAGGGGGAGGGGAAAGGAAAGAAGGGAAUGGAAUUAAUAUGAGAAUAUAAGAACCAAGAGAGUCUGUAAAUGUGCAUAUCUCCAAUGAUGAAUGUCAUUAUAUUGUACACCUAAAAUGUACCAAUAAAAGGAUAUACAAAAAAACCCCAAUUAUGACCAUGUGAUAAGAUGAAUGAUUUUAAGAAAUAACAGGUGAAAAAGCAAUAUAAAAUU
ensembl:lncRNA